CCUGCAUGAUGACAAGCAAAUGCUGAGUAAUGUGAAGAUCUUUUAACUAUUAGCUCUAUCUGAUAU